GGACUUUAGCAAUGCACUAGAUGGCAUGAUGUGAUGUAGGUGGACACAGGUGAAAUCUGAGAGAUCUGAGAUGACAUUUGCAGCAAUCCAGGUGAGAGCCACAGUAUUGGGCCAGGAUGGGAAAAGUAAGGGUAGGUGAUUGGAUUUGGAUUCGGGGUUAUGUCUUGGAGGCAGGAUUUCCAAGGCUCUCUGAUGGACUAGAGAUGAGAUAGAAGUGCUGAGGAUGGUUUUCCUAUUAGUUGCUUUGGGACAACAGAAUAACUGACAAAAGCACUUUAAGAAAGCAGGAAUUCAUUUUGGUUCAUCAUCCUGGGAAGUCUUGGUAUCAGGAGCUUGAGGCAAAUGGUCAUAUUUCAUCCAUAGUCAGGAAGCAGAGAGUGAUAAAUACAGGUUGCCACUGCCUCUGCCUCUCACUCCUCCUCCUCUUCCUCCUUCUUAAAUAAAAGAACCUUUCUUUCUUUUUUUUUUUUUUUGUGUGUGUGUGGGUGCAUGAAUAUCUGUGUACUAUGUGCAUGCCUGGUAUCCUUGGAGACCAGAAGAAGGUAUUGGAUCCCCUGACAAAUGGAGUUACAGAUAGUUGUAAACAGCUAUAUGGGUGCUGAGAAUUGAACUCAGAUCCUCUGGAGUAGCAGCCAGUGCUCCUAACUGAACCAUCUCUUCAGCCCCAUUUUCUCCUUUUUAUACAGUUGGAGGACAUGAAUCGUGGCAUUCAUAUUUAGGGUAGGUCUUCUCACUUUCGUUAACCAUAUCUAGAUUGCUCCUCAUGGACAUGGUUAUCAUCGUGUCAAAUUGACAAUGCUAGCCAUCACAGUUUCCAAGUUCUGACCUGAGCAACUGGGAGAAUGAAGCAAGGCUAAGGUUGUGGUGAGAUCAUGCUGAGGGAAGACCAAGAGUUUCAUUUCAUAGUCUGAGCCUCUUCAGCAUUCAGUGGAGAAGUUUUAUAGACAUGCAUUUGAAAAUAUUCCAGGAGAGAUGGGCAUCCAUAUCUGGAGCUCAUGGGGAAGGAUUGGCCUGGUAAUGGAAAACCAGGAAUUGUCACCAUACAGCUGAGACAUAAGACCUUGGGCCAUGGAGACUCUCUUACCCAGCAAGUAGAGGGAACUGGAGCAGCAAUGAGGACCAGUGUCUGCAAGUGCAGGACCAGGGCAUCUGGAAAAGAUGAGAUAGAUGGCAGCAGACCUGUCUGGAGAGUUGAUGAGGCAAAGCAGGGUCAGGCUGAGCUGAGUUGCUGGUGGAAUUUUCCAACCAUGUGUUCUCUUAGGUGCAUUUAGUCCACAAGAAGGGAAAAAAAUAAAACUCAGUGGAUGCCCAUUUUCAUUCUGGUUGUGCAGUCCUUCCCUUAUUACUGGUCCAGUACCAAGAGCUGUUUAUUAGAAAGGAAGUGGGAGUCUGGCUGUUGCAUUACCAAGCCAAAUGCUCUACAUACACCUUGACAGAACCCCCACUUAGAGAGACUGACCUGUUUCCUUGGUAUUUUUAGCUGGGAAUUAGUUGGGAAUUUAGCUGGGAAUCAUUGCUACCUGUUGUCAUAAUUAGUCUCUGGACCCCUCUUUUACAUUUGAAAACUUUGAUGAGCUUGCUUGUGCCAGAAUAACUUCUCAUCUGAAAUUAUUAUUUUUUCCAUCCUCACUAGAUGGAGGAGGUAAGAAAUAACAGUAUCCUUGGCAUUGCAGCUAAUUACCACUCCUGAUACUUCCUGGCUUAGCCAAUGCUAUCCUCAGAAUUCUUACCUCCCUGUUAAAUGUUCACCAAGUAGAGCUUCUUAAAAAUGAGUUAUCCUCACAGGGUUGUGACAAAGCCUAGGAAGUGCUCAUCUCUGCAGUCUCAUCAUCUGUGUCUCUCAGGUCAAGUACAAACUGUAGCUGUUUUCAGAUGGGCCUGAUAGUUUUGGGAGUAUAAUCCCUGUGUGUUAUUCAUCAGACAGUGUCGCUACAUCAUCCAGUCUGGGCUGUCAAGGGGCUUCAAUAGUCCACUCAUGGAGAAGAAGAAUCAGUAAUCAAAGUCUGACCUCUGGAAGGCAAAGAAAGGUUUGGUUAUCUGUCCAAGGACUGGAAGAUGGUUCAAGCAAGUGUCAACUACAUAGGCCAAAUGGAUAUGCUAUGAGCAUUUUCAAGACAGAUGGGCUAGUCCCUAAACCCUUGCUCUGGAGACCUUACCCGCUAACUGGCCACUCAGGUGAAACUCACAUUUGGAUAAGACCUAGAGUUUGCUAGUCUCCAAAAGUUGGAUAUUGAGCCAGAUUUUCUUGAUAUGCUGGCACAGCCAUAUCCACUGGAAGUAGCAACAGAUUCCCUGCAGUAUGUGUUGAUCAGAUGUCUCCUAUGAUCAAGAGUGUCUUCAGUAAUUGGAGGCUACACAGUGAAUGGAAAAGGCAAGCUCUUUACCACAUGGUAGCUUACCCUUUUGGGUAAAGAAAGAAUUAAAAAAAAAACAGCAAAUAGGAAAAUCAGCAAAAAGAAGCAAGCAACAUCAACUGUAAGUUUAUAGAGCUGUCAAGAGUAGGAAUCAACAUAUUAGAGUGAGUGUCUGAUUCUUGUGCCUGUUCUCAAGACCCUUUUCCUUCUGUUGGGUUGCCUUUUCCAGCCUUGAUGUGAUAGGGUUUUUUUUUUUUUCUUUAUCUCAUUCUGCUUUAUUUUGCAUGUUUGGUUGUUAUCUCUAGAAGCCUGUUCUUUUCCAAUAAGAGACAGAAAUCGAGUAGAUCCAGAGAGGGGGAGGUGGGGAAGAACUAGGAGGAGUAGAGGGAAACUGUCAUUAGGAUAUAUUGUAUAAGAAAAGAAUAUUAUUUUC
rnacentral:lncRNA from 1 species